rnacentral:rRNA from 1 species
UACGUAGGGUGCAAGCGUUGUCCGGAAUUAUUGGGCGUAAAGAGCUCGUAGGCGGUCUGUCGCGUCGGCUGUGAAAACUUGGGGCUCAACUCCGAGCUUGCAGUCGAUACGGGCAGGCUAGAGUUCGGCAGGGGAGACUGGAAUUCCUGGUGUAGCGGUGAAAUGCGCAGAUAUCAGGAGGAACACCGGUGGCGAAGGCGGGUCUCUGGGCCGAUACUGACGCUGAGGAGCGACAGCGUGGGGAGCAAACAGG